CAGGGGAAUUUAGCCAGCUUCACUGGAAUUAGCUUUUUGCUGUCUUUCCAGAACCCUUGUGGACCAGGGCGUGAGCCCCUCUUAGUGUGAAUGUCAGAGGCUGCGGAGGAUAAGGCUGUAGGCCCUUUAUGCAGAACUGUGUCUUCAUGGGAAGAUGAAGAGGCCCAGUGACACAAAGUGACUUAUCUAUGAUGACCCACCUGCUUAGUGGAGUGAUAUUGUCAGAAAUGGGAUUCAGUUGCUUUGUUCCCAUCAUCUGCUCUUGAUGGGCUAUGAGACGUCAUUAGGUACAGGGUGUGAUGAAUAGACAAGUUCCAAAGAAGCUAGAUCAGAAUCAGAAGUUUGCCUUGGCAGUUUUGAAAGUACUGUACAAUGUAUCGUGAAGACAAUCCCAUGUCCUUGUCACCCACAGGGCCAUAAUAGAGCCACAGAUGAAAGUUGUGACUGUAGCAGAGAGAUCUCUCAACAUCCUUUGGACACUCUCAGCAAGACUGUGAAGGUUCACCUGGGAGGUCUCUAGGGGAAAAUCAACAUGCUGUGACAAAGAGACUCCGUGUGAAUUUAGUGCCUUAGCAAAGUCAGUAGGAAUCCCUUCUCCAGUUGCCUGGUGGUCCUGGAAGUAACACAAGCCGAUGAAAGAUUAGCCCCUUCUUGGGAUGAGACAACCUUGAGCGAGUUACCUGCUGGACUGAUCUCACUUGGGUUGUUUGGGUCAAAACAUCAAAAAGGCGGUAAGCUCAUAUUGCACAGUCCCUUGGGCACUGGUAAAUGCUUCCCCGUGGUUCUCCUCUUCCUCUUUCCUAUGCAUUCUUAGGUUAUAAAUUUCCCUUUUGUGAAGUGGUGUUGGCUUGAAGACUGUCCAUGGUGAUUAUUUGCAGAUGAGCUACAGAGGGAAAUGAAAUAAUCCCAAACAGGAGAUUGCUGGUGGGUGGGAAGAGAAGGUUUUAGUCCUUGCCCUUGGUCUAUGUGGGGAUUGCUCAGGGCUGGACAACACCUGUUCUCCUUGGGGAGACCCUGAAACCCAGAGCUUUUCCUCCUGAACUAGUGCCAUGACAGCUGAACCUUUGUCCAUAAGGAGCGAUUAACAUGGCAAGGGAGGCAUUUGAGUUGAAGUUUUCUUCCCGAGAAUUCCAUUUUAAGUGCUUACCAUAUUAUAAAAAGAAUAAUCAUUUUAAUAGAACAAUUAGAAUAGAAAAUUAACUAGAAUAUGUCCCUUUUCAGAUUAUAUGUCCUAUUAUAUACAUUUAACAUGUUCUUAAUAGGUCAAUCCAAAAAACAUUUAGUUUUCUUCAAUUUGACUUUAAAAAAUAUAUUUAGUUUUUAAUUGACACAUAAAAUUGUACAUACGUAUGGG
rnacentral:lncRNA from 1 species